CGAGCGAUCCCAGAUUCCGCGUAUUUUUAGGCGCAUAAUCACAGUCGGUGCAUUUGAUCAGAUCACAAGCUGCACAUUUAAACGAUAAAAAAUAUUAACAUUCCAAUACCAAUGUCGUAAGUCGUGGAUGCGACUGUGGUACAGUCGACUGCGAGUUUCUACGCUAAAACUUAGUUUUUUCGGGUAUAUCGCUAAUAAUGUGAGGUGGAAACAACGGGAAAGAUUACUAGACUUGGAUGAAGACUGACGAAGCCGGACUUAAAACUGAAGAAAGAAAAGCUGGUACUCGUCGCUAAAGAGAAAUGGGUGGACUUGUUGGUAAAGCUUAACUCGAUGCUUCACUUAUCCAAUAGCUUAUUCGGAGGUUUGAUUUCGGUAAGGAAUGAAUUAGCAAGGUAUCCUGAUAUUUAAACGGAUGCAAAUAUGUGUAUGUGUGCAAAAAAUUGAUUCCCGUUUAGUAUCUUCUUAAAUUAUAAAUCUUUGAAUUUGGAAUUUGUAACUUAGUUGGUGUUAUAAAAUUUUAUGUAGUUUAACAAUUUGAUUUUAAACUUUAAACAAUUAAAGAAACGUUAAUUUUAUCAGAAUCAAGAAUUUACACAUAAAACACCUAUCAAGGGUUUGGCUUAGUAAAUAAUUAAUUAUAGGGGUUACAAUGAACGAUUAUAAUCAUCCAAGUAGCACUAUAUAUACACAAUCCAGUUCUUACUUCACUAAUCCUAACAUGGCGUCCAUGCCAGCAACUUUAUCAUGGCAACAUAGUGUUGGUAAUAUGAUAAUGGUGGUUACGAUUUAGAGAUGCUAUGUGAAAAUGAUGCUAUUACUUGAAAAAAAAAACACACAGAAACUCCAACAAGAGAAGGAUAUUGGAAGAUUGAUGUUAGUAAAUUUUUGUUGUUGUGUUGUAACAUGUUGUAACGUUUUCAAGAGGUAAUAACAUAAUAAAUAUUACGUC
rnacentral:misc_RNA from 1 species